CACCCUUGUGUGCUUUGGCGGGCCCGCCUCGGCCACCGGCUCCGGCUGGUGAGCGCCCGCCAGAGGACCCCAAACUCUGAAAUUUAGUGUCGUCUGAGUACUAUAUAAUAGUUAAAACUUUCAACAACGGAUCUCUUGGUUCUGGCAUCGAUGAAGAACGCAGCGAAAUGCGAUAAGUAAUGUGAAUUGCAGAAUUCAGUGAAUCAUCGAAUCUUUGAACGCACAUUGCGCCCCUUGGUAUUCCGGGGGGCAUGCCUGUUCGAGCGUCAUUACAACCCUCAAGCUCUGCUUGGUAUUGGGCGUCCCCGGCGACGGGGUGCCCUAAAAUCAGUGGCGGUGCCGUCUGGCUCUAAGCGUAGUAAAUCUCUCGCUCUGGAUGCCCGGUGGAUGCUCGCCAGAACCCCCCAUUUUUUACAGGUUGACCU
rnacentral:rRNA from 1 species